CAGGAGUUCCCGUCGUGGCUCAGUGGUUAAUGAAUCCGACUAGGAGCGAUGAGGUUGCGGGUUCAAUCCCUGGCCUUGCUCAGUGGGUUAAGGAUCCAGCGUUGACGUGAACUGUGGUGUAGGCUGCAGAUGCGGCUGGGAUCCCGCGUUGCUGUGGCUGUGGCGUAGGCCAGCGGCUACAGCUCCGAUUUGACCCCUAGCCUGGGAACCUCCAUAUGCCACGGCAGCAGCCCAAGAAAUGGCAAAAAGACAAAAAAACAAAAAACCAAAAACCAAAACUGAACAAUAGCAGUGACAACUCUGGAUCCUUAACCCACUGUGCCACCAGGGAACUCCAGAGCUAGCCUUCUUGCUGCUGCUGCCUACACCUCAUGAGACAGAUGUGGGCUUUGUCUCACCUUCUAACAAAUGAGAACAAGCUACUGACUUCAAUCACCCAGAGUGACAAGGGCCAUCAGUUCAGGUCUGGCUCCAGGAAGGCAGCUGGCACUUACCAUGGCUUCAUGCCACCACGAUACAGGGCAAGAUAAAUUCCCUCCCUUCAAGUCGCCUGUAGACUAGUAGAAAGGAACGCAAGAGCCAACAACAUCAUUUCAAUUGCUGUCAAGAGCUUUGGAAGAAGUAAAACAGGCUAAUUUCCACAGUGGGGAAGUGCUGUUCAGUUAGAUGUGAGAAGGUCCCUUAGGGGAGAGAGAGUGGUGUGGAGCUGGUGGAAGGACCCUCCUAGGAGCAGGAUCAGAGAAUGCGGAGGGCCUGAGGAAGAACAAGCGUGGAGGUUUGGGCGGAAAGAAGACUGAUAGAAUCACAGUGAUAACGGGACUGGGCGCUGUUCCAGGCCUUUGUGGCCUCACUCCUUUAAUCCUCUCAACCAUGCCUUGAGGUGGGUGUUAUUAGCCCCAUUUCUCAGAUGUGGAAAGUGAGGCACAAAGAAGUUAAACAGUUUUCCCACAAGGUCACACAGCCAGGUUUUGUGGCCAGGUAGCUUGGCCCCCGAGCCCUUGUUUUUAACCACUCUGUGACUGAGAGCGAGAGACCACAGCCAGAGCGCUAGGAAGCCUCAGAAACUGAGAGAGGGAGUUAGAAUUGAGCCCAGCUUCUAAGGAGCUCAGGAGAGGCAGCUCCAGAGCCCGGUUACAGCAAAGGGUCCUUCCUCUCAGUCGACAUGAUGGCAGUUCCCACAGCUACUUCCAUCCUCACCAGACCCAGGCGAGCGCCCCAGUUCUCUGGCUCAGGGCGGGUCUCCACAGAAGGGAGCUCAAUACCUAGACUGCUGACAAUGUGAUUUCCACGUGCCGGCAGGCGGUGGGGAUCAAACAGCCCAGAUGGGGCGGUGGGGGUGUGGCGUCUGCCUGCACUGCUCCAGUGCCCUCUGCCCUUAACCCUUCCCCAGCCCCAGCCCUUCUGUUUUUCAACAGGAAAAGGGUGUGCUUGGGUCAAGGCAGGUGGUGACAAGUGGCAGGGCUGCAGGUGGGCUCUGUGUCUGCACAAGCCUGGUUGCCAGGAACAGGCGUGAGACGCCCCAGUUGGGGGGUGUUGAACUUGGCACUAGGGGGUGGGAUUAACCACCAGGGCCCAGGCUACUUCUCACUUCCCUUAUCACCUCCUGCCACCGCCCCCCCUCAAUAAAUGUUCAUGAAACCUACCCUGCUCCCAGCUCCCUCUAGUCCAGAGAGAAAGUCACUGUCCAGGUAAACUGAGGCUGGACCACCUAAGAGGGUCUCUGCCCCUCUCCCUCAUUCUUAUGGCACUCGACACUUUUCAGAAAGGGUCCUUCCUCUCAGUCGACAUGAUGGCAGUUUUGACAGCAUCAGUAGUGCUGAUAAAUUAGGAAGCUGGGACCAGAGAGGUGAAGGGACUUGCCACAGGUCACACAGCCUCUACGGGCCUGGGCCAGGGAAUGGGAACAAGAUUCCCAGGCUUGGGAUUUUCCACUUGGGGCCCAUCACCAGCCUUCCCAUGGGGGUAAAGGAGCAGACAGAGUCCGAAAGCCAGGCCCACGGGUCUGGAGUGGGAAGGGAUAAGGAGUGGAAGAUGUGGCACCGUGCAACAGGGUGUCCCCUGGCACCAGCCCUCUGGCUGAGCCCCAAGGCCAAGCUUGACUGCAGGCAUCUGUUACCAUGGAGACCCAGGCUGGGCUGGGGGCUGGCCAGUGACAGCAGCCCUUCCCCCACUGAUAGGGACCAGGCCCUCGGGCUCAGAGACCUUGGGCCCAGAUGGCACUAGGUGGAACUCCCCACACCUGCCUCCCCUCACUGCCUUCCGUCCCCCAACUGAGCCCGCCAGUCCCGAACCCUGAGCCUGAGCUGUCUCUUUCAUGCCUCUCUGCUUGUACCUGCCUCUCCUUAAUCGAGGUUGGGAAGAGAUACACUUUAAUCCCUGGCAGGGGAGCUGGUGAGGAUGCGGGCCUGAGGGCAAAGGCUUCCCAGAGCACAGAGACAGGCUAGGGCCAAUCGCAGUGGAGAGGUAAAUUUGAGGAGGUUUAAAUUGGGCCCCAGUAGUUCCUGUUGUUACAAACCCACCUAGGAUCCAUGAGGAUUCGAGUUCAAUCCCCGGCCUUGCUCAGUGGGUUAAGGAUCCGGCGUUGCUGUGAGCUGUGGUGUAGGUCACAGAUGCCACUCAGAUCCCACGUUGCUGUGGCUGUGGCGUAGGCAGGCAGCUGCAGCUCGUUUGACCCCUAGUCUGGGAACCUCCAUAUGCUGCAGGUGCAGCCUUAAAAAGAAAAGGAGUUCCCGUCAUGGCUCAGUGGUUAACGAGGAACUAUGAGGUUGCGGGUUCGAUCCCUGGCCUUGCUCAGGGGUUAAGGCUCUGGCGUUGCCGUGAACUGUGGUGGAGGUCGCAGACGCGGCUGGGAUCCCGCGUUGCUGUGGCUGUGGCUGUGGCCAGCGGCUACAGCUCCGGCUGGACCCCUAGCCUGGGAAUCUCCAUAUGCCACGGGAGCGGCCCUAGAAAAAGCAAAAAAAUAAUAAUAAUAAUUAAAAUAAAUACAUAAAUUGGACCCCAAAUGUGGGCACAAAUGUGGAAAACGGAAAUGAUCAGGAGGAUGGGCCCGGGUCAAAGCGGAGGAGGGACAGCUGGGAGGAGGGGUUGGAGACAAGCGAGCACUGAAGUCAGAGUCUGGGCACCCGGCGCCUUGUCCCAGCUGUGCUGCUAACUAGCUGUGCGGCCCUUUCUGGGCCUCAUUCGUGAGUGAGGAGGCUGGACCAGAUGAAGAAACUCCAAGGUCCCUCCAGUUUUGACAUUCUUUCCCAUUGGGUUCAACUCCGGACACCCCUCGUUACGAAGCCCCUGAAGGUCAGGGCCAGGGCCAACAGUGCCCUCCCCAGGCCAGCUCAGGCCCAGCUCACCCUCAAGCCCCCAGCAGGACGCCUGGGUGGAGCUGGGAGUCCAGGGCUGAGCUGGACAGGGUGUGGGAGGUGCUCCACUGUGUGUGGGCAGGGGUGGCAGACACCUUUGUGGAUUGAUCCGGCUCAGGAAGGUGAGAAGCAGGUCUGGAGGUGAGAGUUUCUCGACCUCCCACUCAUCUCUUUAGGUAAAUAAAUCCACAUCCAGCAUUUCCCCUUCUCUUCCCAUCCUGGGGGCACUGAGACCCCCAGGGAGGCAGAGCUGAGGUGUGAGCUUCCCUCAGAGACAACACCCCCCCCCCAUACUAGUCCCCUUCUGCAGGGCAGGAACCAUAGCUUCGGGGACCUGGGAUAGUGGGAUGUCGCAGGUGGGCACUGUGCUGGGCCCAGAGGGUGUGGAGAGAAAGAGCAUGGAGUUUGGAAACCUGGCCACUACGCCAUUCACUAGCUCGGUGGCCCUGAGCAAAUGACCUAAACAGUGGGCCUCAGUUUCCUGUCUGCAGAAUGGGGUGCUACCUGGCACGGUGCAGGGCAGUGCAGGGCCAGAGGUCAGAUGAAGAGGCUGCUGGGCACUUGAUUCCAGGCAGCUGCUAGGGGACCCAGGGAACGGGGGAAGAGAUGCUGAGCUCCCCCCAGCUCUAAGCAUGGCUGCUGCCCUGCAGGGGUGACAAGUGAGACCUCUGACUUCUGCUUAAGUGCC
ensembl:lncRNA